rnacentral:rRNA from 1 species
GUUCCAGACUCCUACGGGAGGCAGCAGUGAGGAAUAUUGGUCAAUGGCCGAGAGGCUGAACCAGCCAAGUCGCGUGAGGGAAGACGGCCCUACGGGUUGUAAACCUCUUUUGUCAGGGAGCAACGCCGGCUACGUGUAGCCGGACUGAGAGUACCUGAAGAAAAAGCAUCGGCUAACUCCGUGCCAGCAGCCGCGGUAAUACGGAGGAUGCGAGCGUUAUCCGGAUUUAUUGGGUUUAAAGGGUGCGCAGGCGGCGUGGCAAGCAAGCGGUAAAAUAGCGGGGCUCAACCCCGGCGAGCCGUUUGAACUGGCGCGCUUGAGUUCAGGCGAGGUAGGCGGAAUUCGUGGUGUAGCGGUGAAAUGCAUAGAUAUCACGAAGAACUCCGAUUGCGAAGGCAGCGUACCGGCGCCCAACUGACGCUCAUGCACGAAAGCGUGGGUAUCGAACAGGAUUAGAUACCCCUGUAUG